rnacentral:rRNA from 1 species
GAUGAACGCUGGCGGCGUGCCUAAUACAUGCAAGUCGAACGAGUUCUCGUUGAUGAUCGGUGCUUGCACCGAGAUUCAACAUGGAACGAGUGGCGGACGGGUGAGUAACACGUGGGUAACCUGCCCUUAAGUGGGGGAUAACAUUUGGAAACAGAUGCUAAUACCGCAUAGAUCCAAGAACCGCAUGGUUCUUGGCUGAAAGAUGGCGUAAGCUAUCGCUUUUGGAUGGACCCGCGGCGUAUUAGCUAGUUGGUGAGGUAAUGGCUCACCAAGGCGAUGAUACGUAGCCGAACUGAGAGGUUGAUCGGCCACAUUGGGACUGAGACACGGCCCAAACUCCUACGGGAGGCAGCAGUAGGGAAUCUUCCACAAUGGACGCAAGUCUGAUGGAGCAACGCCGCGUGAGUGAAGAAGGCUUUCGGGUCGUAAAACUCUGUUGUUGGAGAAGAAUGGUCGGCAGAGUAACUGUUGUCGGCGUGACGGUAUCCAACCAGAAAGCCACGGCUAACUACGUGCCAGCAGCCGCGGUAAUACGUAGGUGGCAAGCGUUAUCCGGAUUUAUUGGGCGUAAAGCGAGCGCAGGCGGUUUUUAAGUCUGAUGUGAAAGCCCUCGGCUUAACCGAGGAAGCGCAUCGGAAACUGGGAAACUUGAGUGCAGAAGAGGACAGUGGAACUCCAUGUGUAGCGGUGAAAUGCGUAGAUAUAUGGAAGAACACCAGUGGCGAAGGCGGCUGUCUGGUCUGUAACUGACGCUGAGGCUCGAAAGCAUGGGUAGCGAACAGGAUUAGAUACCCUGGUAGUCCAUGCCGUAAACGAUGAAUGCUAGGUGUUGGAGGGUUUCCGCCCUUCAGUGCCGCAGCUAACGCAUUAAGCAUUCCGCCUGGGGAGUACGACCGCAAGGUUGAAACUCAAAGGAAUUGACGGGGGCCCGCACAAGCGGUGGAGCAUGUGGUUUAAUUCGAAGCAACGCGAAGAACCUUACCAGGUCUUGACAUCUUUUGAUCACCUGAGAGAUCAGGUUUCCCCUUCGGGGGCAAAAUGACAGGUGGUGCAUGGUUGUCGUCAGCUCGUGUCGUGAGAUGUUGGGUUAAGUCCCGCAACGAGCGCAACCCUUAUGACUAGUUGCCAGCAUUUAGUUGGGCACUCUAGUAAGACUGCCGGUGACAAACCGGAGGAAGGUGGGGAUGACGUCAAAUCAUCAUGCCCCUUAUGACCUGGGCUACACACGUGCUACAAUGGAUGGUACAACGAGUUGCGAGACCGCGAGGUCAAGCUAAUCUCUUAAAGCCAUUCUCAGUUCGGACUGUAGGCUGCAACUCGCCUACACGAAGUCGGAAUCGCUAGUAAUCGCGGAUCAGCACGCCGCGGUGAAUACGUUCCCGGGCCUUGUACACACCGCCCGUCACACCAUGAGAGUUUGUAACACCCGAAGCCGGUGGCGUAACCCUUUUAGGGAGCGAGCCGUCUAAGGUGGGACAAAUGAUUAGGGUG